rnacentral:rRNA from 1 species
GACGAACGCUGGCGGCGUGCUUAACACAUGCAAGUCGAGCGGUAAGGCCCUUUCGGGGGUACACGAGCGGCGAACGGGUGAGUAACACGUGGGUGACCUGCCCUCAGCUCUGGGAUAAGCCUUGGGAAACCGGGUCUAAUACUGGAUAUGACUCCAUGACGCAUGGUUGUGGGGUGGAAAGCCUUGUGCGGCUGAGGAUGGGCCCGCGGCCUAUCAGCUUGUUGGUGGGGUNANGGCCUACCAAGGCGACGACGGGUAGCCGGCCUGAGAGGGCGACCGGCCACACUGGGACUGAGA